rnacentral:snRNA from 1 species
GGGAAAGGUUCCAUGUGAA